rnacentral:misc_RNA from 1 species
GAUGAAGAACGUAGCAAAAUGCGAUAAGUAAUGUGAAUUGCAGAAUUCAGUGAACCAUCGAAUCUUUGAACGCACAUUGCGCCCGCCAGUAUUCUGGCGGGCAUGCCUGUCCGAGCGUCAUUUCAACCCUCGAACCCCUCCGGGGGGUCGGCGUUGGGGACCUCGGGAGCCCCUAAGACGGGAUCCCGGCCCCGAAAUACAGUGGCGGUCUCGCCGCAGCCUCUCCUGCGCAGUAGUUUGCACAACUCGCACCGGGAGCGCGGCGCGUCCACGUCCGUAAAACACCCAACUUCUGAAAUGUUGACCUCGGAUCAGGUAGGAAUACCCGCUGAACUUAAGCAUAUCAAUAAGCGGAGGA